rnacentral:rRNA from 1 species
UACGUAGGUGGCGAGCGUUGUCCGGAUUUACUGGGCGUAAAGAGCGCGCAGGCGGUCGUACAAGUCGCGUGUGAAAGCCCCCGGCUCAACUGGGGAGGGUCACGCGAUACUGUUCGACUCGAAGGCAGGAGAGGGAAGUGGAAUUCCCGGUGUAGUGAUGAAAUGCGUAGAUAUCGGGAGGAACACCAGUGGCGAAGGCGGCUCACUGGACCGGAACUGACGCUGAGGCGCGAAAGCGUGGGGAGCAAACGGGG